UACGUAGGGGGCUAGCGUUGUCCGGAAUCAUUGGGCGUAAAGAGCUCGUAGGCGGUUCGGUAAGUCAGGUGUGAAAUCUCCACGCUCAACGUGGAGGCGCCACCUGAAACUGCCGUGACUCGAGUCCGGUAGGGGAGUGUGGAAUUCCUGGUGUAGCGGUGGAAUGCGCAGAUAUCAGGAGGAACACCGGUGGCGAAGGCGGAUCUCUGGGCCAUAACUGACGCUGAGGAGCGAAAGCAUGGGGAGCGAACAGG
rnacentral:rRNA from 1 species